rnacentral:rRNA from 1 species
UAGGGAAUCUUGCGCAAUGGGCGAAAGCCUGACGCAGCCAUGCCGCGUGAAUGAUGAAGGUCUUAGGAUUGUAAAAUUCUUUCACCGGGGAAGAUAAUGACGGUACCCGGAGAAGAAGCCCCGGCUAACUUCGUGCCAGCAGCCGCGGUAAUACGAAGGGGGCUAGCGUUGCUCGGAAUUACUGGGCGUAAAGGGCGCGUAGGCGGAUAUCUAAGUUGGGGGUGAAAGCCCGGGGCUCAACCUCGGAAUAGCCUUCAAUACUGGAUAUCUUGAGUUCGGGAGAGGUGAGUGGAAUGCCGAGUGUAGAGGUGAAAUUCGUAGAUAUUCGGCGGAACACCAGUGGCGAAGGCGACUCACUGGCCCGAUACUGACGCUGAGGCGCGAAAGCGUGGGGAGCAAACAGGAUUAGAUACCCUGGUAGUCCACGCCGUAAACGAUGAGUGCUAGUUGUCGGCAUGCAUGCAUGUCGGUGACGCAGCUAACGCAUUAAGCACUCCGCCUGGGGAGUACGGUCGCAAGAUUAAAAACUCAAAGG